rnacentral:rRNA from 1 species
CUGAACCAGCCAAUUAGCGUUAAUGAUUACUUCCCUAUGUUUUGUAGACUUCAUUUAUAAAGGAAUAAACUCGGUUAUGUAUACAUGUUUUCAUGUACUUUAUCAAUAAGAAUCGGCUAACUCCGUGCCAGCAGCCGCGGUAAUACGGAGGAUCCGAGCGUUAUCCGGAUUUAUUGGGUUUAAAGGGAGCGUAGAUGGAUGUUUAAGUCAGUUGUGAAAGUUUGCGGCUCAACCGUAAAAUUGCAGUUGAUACUGGAUAUCUUGAGUGCAGUUGAGGCAGGCGGAAUUCGUGGUGUAGCGGUGAAAUGCUUAGAUAUCACGAAGAACUCCGAUUGCGAAGGCAGCUUACUGGAUUGUAACUGACGCUGAUGCUCGAAAGUGUGGGUAUCAAACAGGAUUAGAUACCCGUGUAGUCGCAGCUCGCGCAUAGCCGUGUACAUAG